GAAAUUGGUGGUAUUUUACGGCUUAGCCACAUGUCCUGCAGCUGAAAUGGUGGAGGGGUCUAAGGUUUUUAUUUUGAACAAGCAUUCUGGAGGACUCCUUGAAAGCCCUUUCUACAGCUAGCACUAGAAAGCAGACGGACUGCAAUAAUUAUCCCAAUAUCAAUAGUCUCGAUUCUUCUAUUAUUGAUUUGUAUUGGAGGCUAUAUUUUCUGGAACAGGAAGACCAACUCUCACAAAAGCCAUGAACAUAAAUAUAGAAGGCAAUAUACAAUGUGGAGAUGGAGUUGCUAGAAAUUGACACAACACUUGUACAAGCUAGCUUUAGACUUUUAAUGUUAGGCAAUAUUACUUAUUUUGUAUGUUUAUUAGUAAGGAUUUAUCAUGUUGUAAAUUAUACCUUAAUUUUAUUAUAAUAUAAUUAAAUUGUAUCUUGUAC